rnacentral:rRNA from 1 species
UGCCCUACAGUUCCCCGCCCGGGAACAAGGAGCCGGUAUCAGGCACAUCUCUUCGAGCCCAUGACACCUUGCUUAGCCACACCCUCAAGGGAACUCAGCAGUGAUAGACAUUAAGCCAUAAGUGAAAACUUGACUUAGUUAAGGUUAAGAGGGCCGGUAAAACUCGUGCCAGCCACCGCGGUUAUACGAGAGGCCCAAGUUGAUAGCCACCGGCGUAAAGCGUGGUUAAGUUAAAAGUCAUGCUAAAGCCAAACAUCUUCAAGACUGUUAUACGUAACCGAAGACAGGAAGUUCAACCACGAAAGUGGCUUUAUUGAUCUGAACCCACGAAAGCUAAGGAACAAACUGGGAUUAGAAACCCCACUAUGCCUAGCCCUAAACAUUGAUAGUACUAUACAUCCACUAUCCGCCCGGGAACUACGAGCAAUAGCUUAAAACCCAAAGGACUUGGCGGUGCUUUAGAUCCACCUAGAGGAGCCUGUUCUAGAACCGAUAACCCCCGUUCAACCUCACCCUUCCUUGUUUAUCCCGCCUAUAUACCGCCGUCGUCAGCUUACCCUGUGAAGGUUAAAUAGUAAGCAAAACUGGCACAGCCUAAAACGUCAGGUCGAGGUGUAGCGAAUGGAGGGGGAAGAAAUGGGCUACAUUCGCUACUGCAGCGAACACGAAAGAUGUACUGAAACAUCCAUCUGAAGGAGGAUUUAGCAGUAAGCAG